rnacentral:rRNA from 1 species
GACGAACGCUGGCGGCGUGCCUAACACAUGCAAGUCGAACGGAGUGUGACUUCGGUUAUACUUAGUGGCGAACGGGUGAGUAACGCGUGAGAAACCUGCCUUUCAGUGGGGGACAACAGUUGGAAACGACUGCUAAUACCGCAUAAUGUUUCGAGAGGGCAUCCUCUUGAAACCAAAGCUUUAUGUGCUGAAAGAUGGUCUCGCGUCUGAUUAGCUAGAUGGCGGGGUAACGGCCCACCAUGGCGACGAUCAGUAGCCGGUCUGAGAGGAUGAACGGCCACAUUGGGACUGAGAUACGGCCCAG